AUGUGGUGUCUUUGCCUUCACAGAGUGGAAGCUGUAGGUCAUCAACCAGCUAACCCUAACCCUGCUAACUCAGCUAUGGGCAGACAAAGACAGCUUUUGAUCUACACUGAUUUCAUUGAGCUCAAUGACACUGAAGACCCCAACUGUGUCAACCACUCCAACAACAGCGCUGACUGGCUUAAAAAGUACUUUGGGCUGUUUGUUGGUUUUGCGCCCCUAGAAGAACUCAAACGACUGCAUGGAAACUUCUCAGUGAUGGAUGUCCUGCCUAUGCUGAGCCCCAGGCAGCUGAGGGAGGUGGCCUCCACCCCUGGUGAGCUCAGAAACCUUGGAGAUGUCCACAUGAUACUGAUUCAUGUGCUUCCCAGAGAUCUGGGCGAGUUCUUUGACAUCGUUUCUCCAGCUGUUGAGGGUCUUCACCUUCCGGUGGAUGUGCGUCAGGUGCUGCUCCAGCAGGUGUUUGACAAUGCCAACCUAUCAGAUCCCUCCAUCAAAGACCCUGAGGUGCUGGUGUGGUUGGGCCAGAGACUCCGCCCACUUUUACCAAACCUAACAGAGGAGCAUGUGGCCCCCCUCUUCAACAUCGUCAGACACAGAGACUGCAACACCAGCCAAGAAACAGUGGUGUUGCUGAACUAUAUCCUACCAUCACUGUCCAACGGCACACAUGCUGCUGUCCAGCAUCAAAUAAUCAUCCCUCUCAGAGAAUCAACUCCACUACGUUGCUAUAGGAACAACAGCUUCUUUAUGUUCCUGAGACAAUCUUUCCUCAACUUUACAUUCCCAAAGUUGACCAACUUCCUCUCCCUUAUUCCACCACAGCGGGAAUCUGAGCUGCUCAACACCAUGCAUCCCUCAGACCUCAGCACCAUCCUCAGGAAGCCAGAGGUGGUGGACAACAAGACUAAGCUCUGCACAAUCUUCCGAAACUACAAAAAACAAAAAAACUCCAGAGUUCUGGAAACCAAUCUUCCGGAUGAUGUGAAGCGUCCAGUCCUGCCCUGCGUCUGGCCUUUGGCUCUGGCCACUGAUGACAAGGCUGAGGUUGACCGCUGGUUUGACAACAGACUGAGGAACUACCUGAAGUUCCUCAACAGAAACCUGCUCCAGUCCUCUGACACACUCAAUGCCUCCUGCUUACCCUUCAGGAGACUUGUGUAUCUACUGGGAUCCAAGCUCACUUUCAAUGGCUCAGCCAUAACUCAAGAUGAUGCGUACAGCACCAUAAAGACCUACCUCAACACAGGAAGUUCAGCAGCACCCAAGUGUUAUAGUCCCUCUGACCCAAAUCUCAACUCCACCGCCUGGUUCCUUAACUACAUUGCUAAAACUAUUUGCCGUGAACCCUGUCAACAUUGAGUUGUUCAAUUUCGCUGGAAUUCCUCAAAAUCUGACUAAAUACUUUACUGAGCAGAACUCCAACUUCCUCCCACUGCAGUGAGUUUUGAACAGUAGCCACUAAAAUAAUUUGUUUUAUGUUACUAACUUACUUUAUUUCUUGCAUUUAUGUCAAGGGUAUGAUAACAGACAACAGUCUACAUUGAAUCUGAUUGACGGGCAUGGCAUUCUAAUCCAAGAUAGUGUUACUAAGCUCAAUGAGUCAGAGAGUGUGGUUGUCCUGGGCAACCUGAACCAAUCCUGUACUAACGUGGACUCAGAG
rnacentral:lncRNA from 13 species